rnacentral:lncRNA from 1 species
AAUUGUUUUGGCUUUCCGGUGGCAUCCGGCAGAGGAAAAGGGCGGGGGCAGCUAGAUUACUCCACAGGAUCCGCUGAACAUAGGAUGUUGCCACAAAAUCUACCUCGUGUAUUUUUCUCUUUCACUCAUGAGCUGCACAAUUGCAGAUUUGAGCACAAUGUCUGCAGACUGUGUUGAAAAACUCUGAAGAACCUAAUUAACACAGGAUGACCUAGGAGUGAUUCUAAGUCUGUGUAACAAGAUAUUACUCAUUAGUGAAUGUGUCAGUCUUGGUACUGAAUGCUGCAGAUAACAGCAAGUAGGUUCUCCUUUAUUUCUGAAGUAUUCACUUGACCUUCCAUCAGUAAGACGGACUUUUCUAAUCUGUUCCUGGAGAUAUUAAUGGAAUACAGUCAUGUCCACUCAAGACGAGAGGCAGAUCAAUACUGAAUAUGCUGUGUCAUUGUUGGAACAGUUGAAACUGUUUUAUGAACAGCAGUUGUUUACUGACAUAGUGUUAAUUGUUGAGGGCACUGAAUUCCCUUGUCAUAAGAUGGU